GUGAACACAAACAGACAAGCGAUAGUAACUUUGUUUGACACAUUCAUAUUGUUAUGGCAAGAAAGGUGAAUAACGUACGCCUUUACAAUGUAAAUACGCAUAAAAGCAGGACAGAGGUAACUGAGUUGACGAUGUGACUAAAGAUAAGCAACAAAUGGCUGCCGUUUCAUCACCUUACUAUAUUAAAGCAACCCCAGAGGAGGGCGAGUGACAAGAUCAGUGUUGAAUACAGCAACACGAUUGUAUCCAUCAUCGCUGGACAAGGUGUGAGUCAGGAAAGUCCAAGAUUAAAACUUUAUAAUGAAGAAUCGUAGUAUCCUUCCGGUAGUAGCCAUAGUUUUCCUUGCUCUCGCCAUCGCUGUUGAAGAAGUCCAACUUGUUUCGAAUUUUGGAAGGAGGUUUGGUCGCUCCCUGAAGAAAAAGAGCACUUUCAGAAACAAGUUCGAACGCCAAGAGAAAUUGAACUCUUCACCUCUAGUUCAAAAUGAGUACGAAGUCGGAAAUCCGUUUGAUGAGUAUCGGCUGGUAGCCGGAGAAAAGCAGGAUUUUCAAGGGCAAUGACCCAAAGAAGCAAUAGAACCGGUGAAUUUAUCUUUAAAAAUAAAUGAGCGCUCACACUCUAUAAUGUGAAUUCAUGAUGAAGAUGAAAAUAAAGAUCAAAAAACGACA